UUACAGUCCUGUGAAUGAAACAUUGUGACCUCAAGUUUACAGAUGAAGACAAUAAACUUCAGAGAGUUCAAGUAUAUCACUCAAGCAGGAUUAUUUGUGCCCAUGAGGGAAACACGAAGGAUUGUCAGUAUUCAUUUGCUAUCAGAACUGCCUUUGAACUUCAGGGAAGCCGCCAUCUUGUUUUAGUUCACUCCUCUAAAGCACAGUGUCUGCAACAUGAAACACUAGUAAGACACAGUUAUCCAGAAAGAGCCCUAGAGAUGGAUAAGGAACCUGUUGGAAUGCUCUGAUAUUAAGAAAAAAAAAAUUAAAUUCAAAACCAAAAACAAGUCACAAGGGAGUUUUAUGCCUAUGUAAUCAGUGCAGACAGCCGUUAAGUAAAUGAAGAGGCAACUAACAAUGUCAGAAAAGAGACCGGGCGGUUCCGGCUGACACUACCCUAAUCUUCCAGGACCCAUUAAAUGGUAGUUUCAACGCAUUACCUACCAUAACAUCCUUGAAUAUCACUGAUUUUAUUUGCAGUAUCAAACAUUCCAUUUCAUGCCCCAUUAACAGUGGGAGCCUGGGCUUUUUGACGCAGCUAAACAUUUUACUAACUACCUGGACUAAGUAACCAAUUAACUUUUGGAGACAAUACGGCCAAUUAAGCGCGAAAAGAAAAUUUGGAAAACAGGCUUUUCCUAUCCGGAUGAACAGAGAUAAUUUGUGUCGAUGGAUGUUCUGUGAAGGCCUAUUGUGUCGAGCAGCGUAUUAAAACAUAAACAUGGCUCUUCCCCCAAGAAACUUACAUUUCAGUAAGGGAGCCUGGCCAAAAUGGAAAACUGCAAGGUUCAAAUCCUGGAGUGCAGAAGAAGCAUUAGGC
rnacentral:lncRNA from 10 species